CGCCUGUAGACCUGCCUCAUUACAGGUACAUCCUGCCCAGUGAACUAUUUAAACGGCCGCGGUAUCCUGACCGUGCAAAGGUAGCAUAAUCAUUUGCCCCCUAAUUAGGGGCUAGCAUGAAUGGACAAACGAGAUUAUGACUGUCUCCUUUAUACCCAUAAAAAUUAAUCUACAGGUGAAGAAGCCUGUUUUUAUAUAAAAGACAAGAAGACCCUGCUGAGCUUUAAUUAUCUAUAAAAUACAUCAACAUUCCUAUCAAAUAAUCCCCCUUAUAAAUAAUUUUUGUUGGGGCGACAAUGGAGCACACAAACCCUCCACCAUACUUAAAACACCAGAGUUUCACAAAAGAUCCUCCUAAAGAUACUAGGCACUAGCUACCACAGGGAUAACAGACUAAUCUUCCUUAAGAGCCCAAAUCUACAGGAAGGCUUGGCACCUCGAUGUUGGCUUAGGAUUACACUUGAAUGUAGCCGUUCAAGCUGUAGGUUUGUUCAACCUUUAAUCUCCU
rnacentral:rRNA from 1 species